AUGCUGGUUAUGCAGUCCAGAGAUACAGACACGUGUAUGUGAGGCUGGAUGUACAGAGACCAGCAGACUUACUACCACGCAGUUGGUUCCUAGUCUAAAGCUGGAAUAGCUGAAAUGGUUCACAGACUCCAAUCCAAGUGUACAGGUGUCAUCCCCCCCCAAAAGGGAGCACCUGAGAAUCCCUGAAGCCUCUGACCAAUACAGAAAAUGUUAUGCUGAGGGACAGAGCCAGUAGUUUCAACCAUAGCAGCAGCAGAAGCAAAAGAGAGAACCAGAUUUUGACCGGUCAGAGAGGUGAAGCAUCACCACUGUACAAAUAGGAUCCUCCAGGUUUUUCAAAAGAAGGGGAGGAACAGUUGUAUGUCAGCAGACUGAAGAGGUAUUUGGCAGAGUUUGAAUCAGCUCUAAAGUUGAGGAUCCGAUCCCAUCUUAACUCAAAGGAUGUAGCAAGAAGAAAUCAAACUUCACAAGAAGUUGAGGAUUUGAAAAAAGGAUGGCAUUCAUGUUUUGAAUUCCUGGAUUAAUGGCUCUGGAUGGAGUCCAUUUAAGAUUAAGAUAGCCAAGAGCCGUCCUUCCAGCCCCACACUGUGCAGACCUGGGAGAAAGGAGGAAGUGGUCCUCAUCCUAAGGAAUUUAAACUGUGAGAAAAGUGGUGAUGAGAUACAAGUCAUGCUAAUUUCAAGUGUUAAUGAAGCAGAAUCCAUCCCGAUGUGAAGCAACCCGAGGAUGCUCUGUGACACAGCCAUAAUGGGACCAGACAUUAUGGUCUAUUGUGUUAAUAAUCUGUGAAUUAAAGCAUCCCCCAGCAAGCUGUUAAUGUGAUGGAUUGUAUCAGUGAUGUGCUGUUAAAGGGUCCCCAGUCAACCUUGACACAACAGGCCAGAGCGGUUUGGAAGGCCUGGCAGCUCCAUCAGACAGUUGGGCCGUGCCUGGUGCACAAGAUAAACCUGAUAGGAGAUCACGGGGAGCUUCAGAGGAGGCUGAGGAUGCUCAUCACAUUGCCAGGGAUGGGCCUGAGAGACCAAAAUGCUCAGAAUCCUCUUGACGAAGAAAAGCAGAAGUCUCAGCAUUAAAAAUAGAUGCUUUUUAUCUUGCAUAGGAUACAAAAUCUCUUCUGAUAGGACAUUUUUUUAUGAUAUUUUAGCAGCUCCAAGCAGUCUUGGAUUAGGCCUGUAUCACAACAGUAAUACACAGGAGGCUAUGUUUUGUCUUGCUAUGACACCAGCUACUAUUGUUUUUGAUCUGCAGCCUCUGAAGAGGGAUGCUGCAUCUUCGACGGAAGGUGUUAUGAGUGCAGAUUAGUUAGACAAGUGCUGGAGUGAAUGCAUAAGCAGUGAUUUUGCAUAAUGAGGUAUGUGAAAUCCCAGUGGAGGUUGUUAAAACAGAUAGACAGCCUGUGGUAAACAACAAGGAAGGUAAGCUUUGAAAACAGAUGGCUUUGAAAACCUGGCAAAUGACUGUUCCAUACUUAAAAAUCAGUUUUGUUGGAGGAAAAUAUCUUCC
rnacentral:lncRNA from 7 species